GACGAACGCUGGCGGCGUGCUUAACACAUGCCAGUCGAACGGAAAGGCCCUGCUUGCAGGGUGCUCGAGUGGCGAACGGGUGAGUAACACGUGGGUGAUCUGCCCCUUACUUUGGGAUAAGCCUGGGAAACUGGGUCUAAUACUGGAUAGGACCAUGCUGUAGGUGGUGUGGUGGAAAGAUUAGUUUCGGUAAGGGAUGAGCUCGCGGCCUAUCAGCUUGUUGGUGGGGUAAUGGCCUACCAAGGCGUCGACGGGUAGCCGGCCUGAGAGGGUGGACGGCCACAUUGGGACUGAGAUACGGCCCAGACUCCUACGGGAGGCAGCAGUGGGGAAGAUUGCACAAUGGGCGCAAGCCUGAUGCAGCGACGCCGCGUGGGGGAUGACGGCCUUCGGGUUGUAAACUCCUUUCAGCCAUGACGAAGCCCUUGUGGUGACGGUAGUGGUAGAAGAAGCACCGGCUAACUACGUG
rnacentral:rRNA from 1 species